GGCGGGCUAGGUGCGAGUAGGGGCGGGAAAUCGUAGUGCGGGUGAGGUGUCUGGAAGUAGUGGGCGUAAAGAGCUCGUGGGCGGUUGGCCGGGUCGGGCGUGAAAGGCCGGGGCUGAGGCCCGGGGCGGGGGGGGGGACGGGCAGACGGGAGGGCAGGAGGGGAGACCGGAAUUCCUGGGGUAGCGGUGAAAUGCGCAGAUAUCAGGAGGAACACCGAUGGCGAAGGCAGGUCUCUGGGCUGUAACUGACGCUGAGGAGCGAAAGCAUGGGGAGCGAACAGGAUUAGAUACCCAGUAGUC
rnacentral:rRNA from 1 species